rnacentral:lncRNA from 1 species
UGCGCCAUGCUGAUUUUCUGCGGCUUGAGCAUCACGUGCCACAGCAGCCCCUCCGAGCAGGGCGGGGUGGUGAGGCUGCCCUCGUAGGUGACAUACUCGCGGGAGGAGGGGGGAGGGAGAAGCUCCUCAAGACGGACCUCAGCGUCCGGAGGCAAAUAGUUGAUGGCCUGAAGGAAUUUCGUUUUUUUGCACGAUAGGGCACCGAGUUGAAAUGGAUGGGGGUGAUUGCGGAAGGGCAUGCCACUGCCCAUGCUUUUGCAGCCGACGUCUUACGCUGUAACACACAAAUUAACCCCAAACCGCCUUCAGGGGGGGAAAGAACCUCCCGCACCCCAAGCGGACUACCACUGCUCGCAGCCUCACCUCACCGUCCUUGGUGUGGCUGCUGGCAGCACCACCACCAGCAGCAGCUAGCGACCCGGGCUUGCUUAGUUUGUAAUCCAAAUCCAGGCAUGGACCAGAAGCCAUCCACUCCGUAACAUCUUAAAAAUCUGUAAUGCAGGAACUUGCUGACUCGAGAACUCAUUGCGAAAGCCUCGAGUCGGCUACCAGGUUCCAAACCGACCACAUCCUCGGCCUAACCGCAGCCACUCCUUCACCCACUCCUUCACCCAUUCUCCUCCUCACCCCUUCACGCAUGGGCAAGGCUGCCCAGAUGGCCUCCAGGAAGGGGUUGUCCUCCGACUGAGUCAGCUCGAACAGCACCCCCGUCACGGAGAAGCAGCCGGCGGUGCAGGCGGGCAGGUCAGUCACACGGUGGACGAUGUGAAGCUCAAGAGGGUAGUGCUUGCCUAAAACUCCAGGCGGCGUUAUGGGAGGAGGGCAAAGGGCGGCGCCAGGUUUGAGUGGCAGUAACCGGGGGAGGGUGAAGCCAGGAAUAGGUUGAAUUAGCAAGGCUUGGACGCUCAAUCAAUCAGAGUCUAGCUGGUACCAGCAUCAACGACGCUUAGACGCUACAUCUGUCGCCGCUAAGAACGAGCUAAGCCUCGCGCUUGCCGGAAGUCACAACCUAUGAGAGUGGCUUGUUCCACACGGGUGACUGUGACGACUCGUGCAAAUCUUGCGGGAGCUAGCUGGCUUAUGUCGGCCAUGCAUUCCAACCCUAAGUACAUUGGAAUGAUUUGCCUGGCUGGCAAGAUUUCUUAACAAACAGGCAUGUAGCUGCCACCAUACGGUAGUUGCACCGGUAAAACCGACACACUACUCGUCCAUACCAGGUUUUACAAGUGCCCGUUUUGCCGGUGAUCUUCCGUCACCCACAUCGCUCACCACAUUGCUGCUACUUUGCAUUGCAUGGGAUGGCACUCCUGCACCUACCUCCAACCAGGUGCUCGGAGACCGUGUGGAAGUGGAACUGCAGCGGCGUGGCUUUGACGGUGGUUGCCUGAUCGGUUUCGGUCAUGCCCAACACAGAGGUGAUCCUUGUGUUGCUGUCCUGGCGUGCUAUGGGCGGGGAAAUGAAAUAGAGCAUGGCACAUCCAGUUCUUUAGGGCUUAGGGAUCUCAGAGGACAGCACGUGCUAAAGAUGCCUGACACAAAGCAUGCAUUAGAGCUUCGUUAGGUCGUGUGGCCGGGCUCAGCUAGCAAGCUAGAAAAUGGGGGCAGCGGCGCCUGUAGGUGUGAAAAUUGCUACAGCGACAUGGCCCCGUUGCAGUGUACGUAAUAAUGCGACGGGGCGGGAAUGCAAGCACGCUCGGGAACUAAGUGAAAUACAUGAACGAAAUCAUGCAGUACGGCACACCUGGGACGACAAUUGCGACGUCGGCUGCGAACGGCGACAGCCACUCAAUCUGGAUGGCGUGUCCUGUGUUGAUAACCUCCACAUUGGAGCCGUUAGAGUAGAUGGUUGGGUACGACCAGCGGGUACGGAACUUGUCCGGGAUGUUGCUGCCGCGAUUUUCUGCAGGUGGACAGCGGAUAGAAACAUUUUCCUGUCAUGAGCAUCAAGGGUUGCCGACAGAGAAUAGGCCCACACCAGGGAUAGCAUUACCAUAGGAGCACUAUGCCGUGCCAGUGGAUGCGAUUGGAGCUGUAGCUUCCCAAGUCAUUCUAGUACCGAAACAGUAACCCUAAUAUUGGAGGCCUUUUCCAGGCUUUAAGCUUACGGUAUGAGCAUGAAGGACAGGCGUACGAUAGAUCAUCCUGAUGCGUAAGCUUUGGGGCCCUCCCGGUUCUGUACUCCGGUGCCGCCGAUAUGCCCCAACCCCCAAACUUUUCUCCUCAAUUUUAUCCAGCAAUUCAAAAGCCAAUCUAAGGACACAGAAAGAUGUUCACAGACUUACUGAGAGUUUCCGCGUUUGGCAAAUUGAUAGGGCUUUGGCGAAUUCCGCUCAUGCAGGCCCAAGGCUUUCCAGUUGCGUCCACACCAGUCCUGAAGAAAUGAAGGAAAGAACCGAAAUGGAAAUCGACUUGGAUAGAUUACGAGUUUCACAAGCUUCUGCGUUCCAAACGAGCCCAAAGACUCUUUAACCACCUUAAUCGAACAAAAAUGAAGCCGACGUGCGAAUCAUGGUAUGCAAAUAUGGGCAAGGCCAGCAUGGCGCCAGCGCCGACAUGCUUACCAGUCAUCUCCAUUCAAGCCGUGAUCCCAAUGAGUGCCGGCGUGAGGGGCUUCCUGCAGUUAGUUUACAGAUUGUUCUGGGCUUAGUUUCGGCGAAUUACAAUCCGCCAAAUGCAGUGUCAUAAUGGCUGCGUUCGAAUGGGUGCCCAGCGCCUCAUAUGCGUACACAAGCGCAAAAUCGUGCAACUAUUUAUUCUCGGAUAUUCUUAUUGCCAUAAAUAGACGUAAGAAGCCAUACUUUCUGACAACAACGGCCGCCCGACACUGCGCACCAGUGAAUCAGGCGAAGUCCCAUACUUGAAUACACAAGCAGUGACAUGGCUAAGGAAGCAUAGAGCUGCAAAUAUCAGCGCCGCACACAAACGUGCUGCCGCCAUCUCUCGGUAUCUUGGGGACGUAAGCGCGUGGGAUUGAGCCUAGAAUACAAUUGGAAGAAGAGUAGUAGGAAAAUAGUUAUUGGGCUCCUUGGCAACAUCUGAUUCGUUCAAGAUUUAAUUGUGGAUGUGAACGGUCGUGGGCCCUGCGCUGAAACCGAAACCAAGUUUGACUUCAAAUGCGUUAGCUGGCAUUGCACCUCUUCUCACUUUCCAAAGCCAUACAGUUCCCGCUGGUCGGCAUUGGCCCAACGUGCCUGUUAGGUUGGUACCUGAUUAGGUCGGGACCUGAGUAGACACCAAUUGACGAUAUAGGAUAGAGGGUACGGUAAGAAUGGAAGUACUUUGGUAAUUAAAAUUCACCUUGGAAAAUUGCGGAGUAAGCUAAUGAAAUGUCGAACGUCAUUAGUACGGACAACGAUUGCAUCUGGACUUGUGAGGCACCGAGGGAUGGCUGAAGUGGGUUAAUUUAUUAUUACCUUGUUUUCUUCUGGAGGAUACCGGCAUAAUGAACCCAAGGAUUGGCUGCCCUUGCCUCGCCGGAAGUCUUAGUCAGAUUACGUAGUCGCUAGGGUUUCUUCGCUUCUUUUCCUUUUAGCACGCCUUAGCGUCCUCGCAAAACAUCACAUCAACCUCCUCUUGCAUAUUGAAUAAAUUUGUUCGAUGAAAUUCUGCCGCCUUUGAACCUACGACAGGGUCCUUUCCCAUGCGGUAAGCGUGUUUCUUCCGAUUAUCACUUGGUCCCAAAUGCAUCCGGCAGAUAUGUUCAAAGGUUGCCCUCACCUAUCAAUACUUGACUGCUGCGUUUGGCCCCACGCAACCUCUGAAAUGCGCUGUAACGUGCUGCCUUGGAGGGGCCCACCCCUGCACAUACUUACAUACGCCCCCUGAAACGAGAAGCCUUGUGCAAGCCUUCUUAUUUUUUGCCACAUAUACAGCAGAAAUAGACGGGAAAUUAAAGGGAGCAAAAGCAAGGCAAAGGCAGGCACAUACACCUGCUGCUCUUCAACAGUAGUUCGCUGGCAAUUACUCGGCGUCGGAGGCGGUACCGGGGUAGUACUUGAGAGACACGAUAGCAUGCGUGCGGGUGUGUGUGCUACAGUGGGCUCUAGACUGCUUAAGGGUCUGUCACACUAAUUAUGGUGUCGUGAGAUGGGAUGCAUGCGCACAAGGCGCGCCAGCAUUCUUUAGUUAUUUCAGCGUCAUUACAUACAGCGAUCUCACAAUAUGCAACGGCCGUUAAGACAAACUUUUUUUCAAUUGAAUGAGUAAAGUAAGGCGUCGUGAGUUCAACUCUUAUCCUGGUCAGCCACCUCGUUGUUACCGCAUCCUAUUAUAACACCGAAACCGGCAGAGGAAAAAAACCGCCAAACACCGUAUUACCUUCGACACAAUGAGGCUCCAAUUUUCCCUCCGAGAUUUUUCUCCGAAAAAGCAGUCAUUGCUAUUAAUGAAAACCGCGGUGUUGCGCCCCACUUGUGGCAUCAGGAUAGAUGCGCAGCGCCGCGACUGCCCAUCCAACAUGCCGAACCACACCAAACUCCAUCUUACCACACCGCUCUAUAACAUCUCGGCAUUCCCAGACACUGCGUUUUACGCUCGGCGCUCUCUAAAAGAUUUCGCCACGGAAAUGCAAGCCUGAGGACCUGGCAUCUGCGAUUCAGCACGUGGCUCUACGUGGCGCACUCCUUCCGCAGCUUCCGCCGCCUCUCGGUACCUCAAAUCGCACCACCGCACGGCGCACUGCCGCACAUGGGGCCGCAAGGUAGGUGGCUCUCACGCUCCGCAAGCAGCUGCUGUUAAAGAAUACACUUUAGGCGGUGUCUCUCGAAGACGAGAAAUAAUGUAAUAAGAAUACGACUCCACGCAUAUCAUGCGCGCAUAUGCGCACCCAUCUAUGCUGCAGCUGCUAAGCUGUCUAACUCUGAGUCAGAGAUAUUUCUCGCAUGAGCAGGACCGCAACAAAAAAUACUACUCUUAUGUACGUAAUGCGCAAAUGCGCACAACCUAAGUUGUCUAAAUCCCCCAAGCUUUGCGAUAUUAAAUUCGCGACGGUGGAGACCAUCAGCACACGCAGGUAGCAUCGAAAACUCUCCGAGACCCCUGAGGCGCGUCUAAACUCCGCUAAAAGCACACAUAAACUUGGCCGUAGCUAUCUGUUAUAGCGGCGUCCUGCCCUGACUAUUUGAAAACCAAAAAAGCGUCAGGAUGGACAGGAAAAAUGGAAAGCAUAAGUACAUGACCGAUUCGCGAAAUGAGACAAAAAAAAUGAUAAAAUGCACGGGCCUGGCCACUCUCUUGCUUUUAAUCCUGAACCCCUCUAUCCUGGGAAAGGUCAGUCUCUUCAUUCGACUCUCUCAUAUGCAUGUCUUCGGCGGAAGCUCAGCCGAGCACGCUGCCCAAUUACUCACAGCUUUGAAGCUAACGCAACGCGCGGGAGGAAAACCUAUCUCUCAGAUCACUAGUAGUUCCUACUCGACGUAUCUUUCAUAUCUUCAUCUGCGGACGUUUCGUUAUCCUAGUACGACAUACGACAUCCUGUGAGGACAUGGAAGGUAUUACUUCAAUAAAGAGGCAAUGAUCCAAAUUUGCUGGAGACCGGUGUUUGCACCAGUACAUUCAAUACCUCAGUUUAUUACUAAGAAGCGAGCUUGACUGCCCGGCCGAACAGACGCUGGGGCGUACGGAAGUUGGUGCCGUACGCCACGACAUUGCAGGUAUCUGCAUGCACGCCAUGGGUACAUAUAUAGAGAGAGAUCAAGUAAAUGGUGGCUGGCGCAUCAGUAGAUUAGUUUGGAUUGAACCACGGCACGGCACGGCACUUGUAGUUAGUAUCUGCAGAAACUAAUGUACUAUGUACUAAUAGCAGCUGCUAUUGGUACAUAUCAUUCCCCAUAGCCCUGGCCAGAUUCCUACUUUCAGGAAUCUUAGCAGCAGAGUUGGGAAGUGGUAAAGGUAAUAGGAGUGAAUGCGCAGAUGCGUAGUGCAAUGUUAGGCAAGCAGAAUUGCAGCACACCGGUCUCCACUCUUCGUGAACUUGACCUUGCAAGACAUGCAGGUUGCACUCUUAUCACAUAGUAAGGAGCACAUCAAUCCAUGGCACAGGAACCAGCUUACAGUCAUCGGGGUUGCCAGGGGCCGCUGCAGCCAGGUGACGGCUGUGGUGGUGGCGAGGCUGCCGGCUUCCAGACUUGGCGCUGGGGGUGGCGGUGGCGGUGGCGUUCUUGAGGCUGCACUCCUUGAAACCCACAGCCGUCUUGUACUUGGUCCACUAAAACGGCCAAGUCCGGAGGGGUUGGGACAAGUCCACAAAGUGAUUUUGCAGAAAGAGAAGAGUGCUUAGAUACCUGGGUGCGUGGGCCAGGGAGGGCACUGAAGCAGCGCGGAAGCCACAUACACCACAUGUCAUCAUGUAAACACAUACCCACUGUAACAACACAUACCCACUGUAACAACCACACACACUAUUAUAUGUUAUCAUGUAGACACGUGCAUACACGAUGUCGUGCUCUCUCGCACAAACAUCAUUAGAAAACAAACACACACGAGCACAAAGACCGCGGGUGCGAUUCGUCGAUCAGGUGGGUCUCAUGAAGUGCGGGAGCUGAUCGAAGCUCUCGACAGGUCCGCACCGUUUGACGCAACCAAGUCCCCGGCACGUGCUUCCCAUCUAUAUAGCCAUUUCCUGCGUACACAUCUGCGCGAACUCUUUCCCCCUCUCCUCGACAGACCUGAUCAGGGAACAGGGUUUCUCACCUGCGCCAUGCUAAUUUUCUGCGGCUUGAGCAUCACGUGCCACAGCAGCCCCUCCGAGCAGGGCGGGGUGGUGAGGCUGCCCUCGUAGGUGACAUACUCGCGGGAGGAGGGGGGAGGGAGAAGCUCCUCAAGACGGAUUUGAGCGUCCGGAGGCAAAUAGUUGAUGGCCUGCAGGGGUUUCGUUUUUUUGCGCGAUAGGGCACCGGGUUGAUUUACAAUGGAUGGGGGUGAUUGGGGAAGGGCUUACCUCUGCUCAUGCUCUUGAAGCGGAUGUUUUCCGCUUUAACACAGAAAUUAAACCGCCUUUUAGUGGGGGAAAAACCCUCCCGCACCCCCAAGACGACUACUGCUGUUAGCAGCCUCACCUGACCGUCCUUGAAAAAUCUGUAAUGCAGGAACUUGCUGAUUCGAGAACUCAUUGCGAAAGCCUCGAGUCGGCUACCAGGUUCCAAACCGACCAAAACCCGACCACAUCCUCGGCCUAACCGCAGCCCCUCCUUCACCCAUUCCUUCACCCAUUCUCCUCCUCACCCCUUCGCGCAUGGGCAUGGCCGCCCAGAUGGCCUCCAGGAAGGGGUUGUCCUCCGACUGAGUCAGCUCGAACAGCACCCCCGUCACGGAGAAGCAGCCGGCGGUGCAGGCGGGCAGGUCAGUCACACGGUGGACGAUGUGAAGCUCAAGA